rnacentral:rRNA from 1 species
GAUGAACGCUGGCGGCGUGCCUAAUACAUGCAAGUCGAGCGAACAGACGAGGAGCUUGCUCCUCUGACGUUAGCGGCGGACGGGUGAGUAACACGUGGAUAACCUACCUAUAAGACUGGGAUAACUUCGGGAAACCGGAGCUAAUACCGGAUAAUAUAUUGAACCGCAUGGUUCAAUAGUGAAAGACGGUUUUGCUGUCACUUAUAGAUGGAUCCGCGCCGCAUUAGCUAGUUGGUAAGGUAACGGCUUACCAAGGCGACGAUGCGUAGCCGACCUGAGAGGGUGAUCGGCCACACUGGAACUGAGACACGGUCCAGACUCCUACGGGAGGCAGCAGUAGGGAAUCUUCCGCAAUGGGCGAAAGCCUGACGGAGCAACGCCGCGUGAGUGAUGAAGGGCGUCGGAUCGUAAAACUCUGUUAUUAGGGAAGAACAAAUGUGUAAGUAACUAUGCACGUCUUGACGGUACCUAAUCAGAAAGCCACGGCUAACUACGUGC